UUUCUUCAAUUAGCUUUUUGCUGAUUUUUAGUUUCUUUAAGUUCUUCAAGGAGUAGGAGUCUUCAGAAGUCUUGUUGAGCUACGGAGCGAGAAUCAACUUAUCAGUAAGUCCGUGGUGUUUUUUCUAUCCUUGUUUUAUUUUCCCUUAUCUUUAUUUCUGCAUCCCUUUUGGGAUUAUGUAUUCAAUUAGAGGGAGGAGUUUUUUUAUGUGGUUAAGUUUCGAUAUUGCAUAACGUUGAGUAGGUUAUAGG
rnacentral:lncRNA from 1 species